rnacentral:lncRNA from 1 species
UUAUUCGUGUCUCUUUUGUGCAUUCCACGAUUUUGGAACCUUUACAAAAAAGCUCUCUUUCGUGAUCGUUCUUCAAACAUUGUUGCAAUCUUUGAUCCAGAGUUGUCUUAGAGCUCAACAUCAAGCUUUCCCCUGCAAGUGUAUAAAUAAGAUUGAUAUAUAGCAGCUAGUGCGUUGCAAAUGUCUUUGAGCUUUAGCAAAUAAGAAAGGAAACAAAGUAUGGAAGGACUUCCCAUUUAUGUUCAGCCUUGGAAAUACCUGAUGAAAUCUGAAGUGGCGUAAUCUUUUAGAUCAAAAUGAGCUUUGACCCAAGAUGCAAUCCUAAAUUUAAUGAGGUCCAAUAAGAGUUCCCAG